rnacentral:rRNA from 1 species
UACAGAGGGGGCGAGCGUUGUUCGGAAUUACUGGGCGUAAAGGGCGCGUAGGCGGCCAACUAAGUCGGACGUGAAAUCCCCAGGCUCAACUUGGGAACUGCGUCCGAUACUGGAUGGCUUGAAUCCGGGAGAGGGAUGCGGAAUUCCAGGUGUAGCGGUGAAAUGCGUAGAUAUCUGGAGGAAUACCGGUGGCGAAGGCGGCAUCCUGGACCGGCAUUGACGCUGAGGAGCGAAAGCCAGGGGAGCAAACGGG